UACGUAGGGGGCUAGCGUUGUUCGGAUUCACUGGGCGUAAAGGGUGCGUAGGUGGCGGGGUAAGUCGGAUGUGAAAUCUCCGAGCUCAACUCGGAAAUGGCAUUGGAAACUACCUUGCUCGAGGAUUGAAGGGGGGACUGGAAUGCUCGGUGUAGCGGUGGAAUGCGCAGAUAUCAGGAAGAACACCAACGGCGAAGGCAGCUCGCUAGGACGGUACUGACGCUGAGACGCGAAAGCGUGGGGAGCGAACAGG
rnacentral:rRNA from 1 species